rnacentral:rRNA from 1 species
AUACGUAGGUGACAAGCGUUAUCCGGAUUUACUGGGCGUAAAGGGCGUGUAGGCGGUCUUGCAAGUCAGAAGUGAAAUUCCUGAGCUCAACUCGGGCGCUGCUUCUGAAACUGCAGGACUUGAGUGCUGGAGGGGAUAGCGGAAUUCCUAGUGGAGCGGUAAAAUGCGCAGAUAUUAGGAAGAACACCGGUGGCGAAGGCGGCUAGCUGGACAGUAACAGACGCUGAGGCGCGAAAGCUGUGGAACAAAACAGAAUUAGAGACCCUGUUAGUCCCCGCCCUAAACGAUGAAUACAAGAUGUAGGGGGUAUCGACUCCCUCUGUGCCGCAGUUAACACAAUAAGUAUUCCGCCUGGGGAGUACGGCCGCAAGGUUGAAACUCAAAGGAAUUGACGGGG